GACGAACGCUGGCGGCGUGCUUAACACAUGCAAGUCGAACGGACCCUUUGGGGUUAGUGGCGAACGGGUGAGUAACACGUGGGUGAUCUGCCCUGCACUUUGGGAUAAGCCUGGGAAACUGGGUCUAAUACCGGAUAGGACUACGCACUGCAUGGUGUGUGGUGGAAAGCUUUUGCGGUGUGGGAUGGGCCCGCGGCCUAUCAGCUUGUUGGUGGGGUGAUGGCCUACCAAGGCGACGACGGGUAGCCGGCCUGAGAGGGUGACCGGCCACACUGGGACUGAGAUACGGCCCAGACUCCUACGGGAGGCAGCAGUGGGGAAUAUUGCACAAUGGGCGCAAGCCUGAUGCAGCGACGCCGCGUGAGGGAUGACGGCCUUCGGGUUGUAAACCUCUUUCGCCAGGGACGAAGCGCAAGUGACGGUACCUGGAGAAGAAGGACCGGCCAACUACGUGCCAGCAGCCGCGGUAAUACGUAGGGUCCGAGCGUUGUCCGGAAUUACUGGGCGUAAAGAGCUCGUAGGUGGUUUGUCGCGUUGUUCGUGAAAACUCACAGCUUAACUGUGGGCGUGCGGGCGAUACGGGCAGACUGGAGUACUGCAGGGGAGACUGGAAUUCCUGGUGUAGCGGUGAAAUGCGCAGAUAUCAGGAGGAACACCGGUGGCGAAGGCGGGUCUCUGGGCAGUAACUGACGCUGAGGAGCGAAAGCGUGGGGAGCGAACAGGAUUAGAUACCCUGGUAGUCCACGCCGUAAACGGUGGGUACUAGGUGUGGGUUUCCUUCCUUGGGAUCCGUGCCGUAGCUAACGCAUUAAGUACCCCGCCUGGGGAGUACGGCCGCAAGGCUAAAACUCAAAGGAAUUGACGGGGGCCCGCACAAGCGGCGGAGCAUGUGGAUUAAUUCGAUGCAACGCGAAGAACCUUACCUGGGUUUGACAUGCACAGGACGCCGGCAGAGAUGUCGGUUCCCUUGUGGCCUGUGUGCAGGUGGUGCAUGGCUGUCGUCAGCUCGUGUCGUGAGAUGUUGGGUUAAGUCCCGCAACGAGCGCAACCCUUGUCUCAUGUUGCCAGCACGUUAUGGUGGGGACUCGUGAGAGACUGCCGGGGUCAACUCGGAGGGAGGUGGGGAUGACGUCAAGUCAUCAUGCCCCUUAUGUCCAGGGCUUCACACAUGCUACAAUGGCCGGUACAAAGGGCUGCGAUGCCGUGAGGUGGAGCGAAUCCUUUCAAAGCCGGUCUCAGUUCGGAUCGGGGUCUGCAACUCGACCCCGUGAAGUCGGAGUCGCUAGUAAUCGCAGAUCAGCAACGCUGCGGUGAAUACGUUCCCGGGCCU
rnacentral:rRNA from 1 species